UUUAGCUUACGCUGUGUAAAAUGCAGUUUUGGGUUACAGGUGCUGGGAGACUCAGCUGGCAGAAUUGUGGAACCUGGCUCUACUAAGGCACGGAACUUGGAAGGAACUGCCUCAUGGAUCAACUUUCACAGAUAUCCUCUACAACUGAUGAGCAACCUAAGUCUCUAUGUUGCCAGAGGCCCCAAACUCAUCUGCAAACCUAACAAAUGUCAAAACAGCUAGAAAAAAAUGAC